CAAAAUGCCGUCGGCUGGAUCGAAAAUGUCGGCCAUGCGAAUUCGCUGCGAAGAAGAAGUGGAUUUAGUGGAGAGACAUGAUGGCCGGGCCAAAGAAAAAAAGAAGAGGAGAAAAGAGCGGAAUGCCGUUGGAAUGCGGGAGAAUCGGGCUGCGACGGUGACGCCGGCAGCGCUGCCUCCGCAUUUCAAUGGUUGCCUAGCGACAGCGGCAGCGGCAGCCAUCAUGGAUGUGAAAGAGAGCGUGCUCGCCGCCCGCUCUCCCUCUCUCGCUCGUGCCAACGGCCAUUCGGCAUUCAUAUUCCAGGGCGGCCAUGCUGCUCUGCUCGCCACUCACCUGCGACGUCGGCAGUUGUGAAGUUCUUGCGACGUGAGCGACCGAAUUUCGGGGCACCCGAAAAACCAGAGGCUCAGAAGACAGGAUUGCGAGCGAGAGGGGGCCGGAGAGUUUUGCGCCUGCGUCGUCACCCCAAAAAAAAGGAAAAUGCUAAAACAAACGCCGAGAAUCGAAGGAAGUUGCCCAGGUUUUAUUACACAUCAACCCCUGCUGCGAAAACUUAACCCGACGCCAGCUGCCUCAGUUCUUCGAGGGACUCGCAGAUGGAUACUCUGGGCACUCGUCUGCGUCUUCGCGUGUGUUUGUGUGUUUUUAUAACAUUUGUGGAUUACGCCUAUAAAAACUACACCUCACCGCGGAGCCAGCGGAGGGCACCAGCUACCACAAAAGGAUUACAAACAAGCUGCUAAAAUGAUACAACCUGUCGCACAAGAGAUUACAACGGAGCUGUUUCUUUUAUGGUUUGUUCCGCUUUUGUUUAACGGUCCUGAGGAUCACACGCAAUCCCACGCAAUCCACCACCGAAGUCAGAAAAACCAAACUCAACGCACAAAUCGACUCAACCGAAACUCGACUCCCAUCCCCCGGCAACUCGAAAUAGUGUUUUAUUGUUGAAAAUUACGCUUCUUUUAUUUAUUUACUUUUUUCUGCAUUUUCUGCCGUUCCCUCACUCUCACCCAGUUUCAAUUUUUAUAUGUUUAUUACGAUUAUUAUCGUUUAAUGGGGCUUGCUCGCUCGUUAUGGCCGUUUUUGUUAUUGUUGCACCAGUAGUUGUGUCAGACUAACGUGUGAAGUUGUUUUAUUAUUUGUUUUGAUUAUCAAAAUGGGCGUUUUACAUUUUUCCGGUCGUUGGGCGGCCCACCUGCCACGGGCCCACAGCUUAUAGCCCAUAUCCCAUAACCCCGGGGCAAGGGCAGUAAAUCACAGCCCGCUGUGAGUGGCUGAGUAUCUGGGCAGCAGUACACUCAUAAAACUACAAUCCUUCACUUAGGGAAUUCCCCGUAAUUACUAAGUGGUUAUUGCGACUUUAAUGCUAGUAAUUAAGCCCUAACUCCUCAAAUUCCUGUAUCAUAUGUGAUGCCAUUGCAUCCAGUUUGAUUUCAUAUCCCAGUAAAAAAAGGUGAUUAGUAAAAUGUCCGAGAAAGGAAAAAUAUUUUUAAGUUUACAAAUAAUUUUAAUCCAUAUAUUUAUAUAUAUUACAUUAAUUUUUUUAUACUUCCCUUUCAAUAUCCUAAAACAAUACCAAAGAAAAACAACUAACAGAUCAUAAUUCGAGAGAGGAAAGUUUCAUAAAAAAUCCUAAUUCAAUGAUAUUUUUUUCCAGUGCAUGAGUAAAUUUGAUUGCACUCAGUGCUGGCCACUCACUCGCACUCGCCGUAUGACCCAUAAACAUAAACCAAAGUGUGGCAAAAUGUUUAAUUUGGAAUCUAUGAGCAAUUAAUUUUAAAGCACUCGCCCGGCCGUUAACGCUGUUUCAGCCCACCCUUGGCCAUAAAAGAUUUAACAAGCCAGUGUGCCAAAAAUUGAUUGUUUAGCCAAUCCGUUGAUUGAUCAAUUAUUCAAUUGUUAUCGCCCAAGAUUUGGCAAUCGGAUUCGAGCAAGAGUGGUAAAAAUACUUGAAAGUCAAUUAAAAAAGAAUUAAGUACUUAAACAGACAGGUGAGAGGCCAUUAAACUGGUAGAAGCUGAAAAAUUUUAAUAUUUAUGUUAUUCAAAAGAUAUCAUUAAAGAACAGAAAACUUUGGCUUGUAGGACUUUAACUAUAACGAAUUAUAAAUGU